rnacentral:rRNA from 1 species
GCUCCAAUAGCGUAUAUUAACUUUGUUGCAGUUAAAAGGCUCGUAGUCGAAUUUAUGGCCUUGUGGUCCUGGCCACUGCCAAGUGUAGUGAGCGCUGGUGUCCACGGGUCAUCCUUCUGGAAGCACUUCUGGCCUUCACUGGUUCGGUUGCUGCAAUCCAGAUCAUUUACUGUGAAUAAUCAAAGUGUUCAAGCAGGCUU